GAUUAUGGCUCAGGAUGAACGCUGGCGGCGUGCCUAACACAUGCAAGUCGAACGGAGUAAUUAAGCGGAAGUUUCGGAUGGAAGCAUAGUACUUAGUGGCGGACGGGUGAGUAACGCGUGGGCAACCUGCCCUGUACCGGGGGAUAACACUUAGAAAUAGGUGCUAAUACCGCAUAAGCGCACAGCUUCGCAUGAAGGUGUGUGAAAAACUCCGGUGGUACAGGAUGGACCCGCGUCUGAUUAGCUAGUUGGUGGGGUAGAGGCCUACCAAGGCGACGAUCAGUAGCCGGCCUGAGAGGGUGACCGGCCACAUUGGGACUGAGACACGGCCCAAACUCCUACGGGAGGCAGCAGUGGGGAAUAUUGCACAAUGGGGGAAACCCUGAUGCAAGCGACGCCGCGUGAGUGAAGAAGUAUUUCGGUAUGUAAAGCUCUAUCAGCAGGGAAGAAAAUGACGGUACCUGACUAAGAAGCCCCGGCUAACUACGUGCCAGCAGCCGC
rnacentral:rRNA from 1 species